AUGCUGGAGACUCCAGUUCAAUUCCUGGGUAGGAAGAUCUGCUGGAGAAGGGAUGGGCUACCCACUCCAGUAUUCUUGGGCUUCCCUUGUGGCUCAGCUGGUAAAGAAUCUGCCUGCAAUGUGGGAGACCUGCGUUCGAUCCCUGGGUUGGGAAGAUUCCCCUGGAGAAGGGAAAGGCUACCCGCUCUAGCAUUCUGGCCUGGAGAAUUCCAUGGACUGUAUAGCCCAUGGGGUCACAAAGAGUUGGAUGUGACUGAGCGACUUUCAUUUCACUUCUUCAAGCACUAUCAUCAUGGGUACAGAUUGGAGGGAAAAGACCAGAAACAAGAAUCAUUACACCCAUGGGGUCACAAAGAGUUGGAUGUGACUGAGCGACUUUCAUUUCACUUCUUCAAGCACUAUCAUCAUGGGUACAGAUUGGAGGGAAAAGACCAGAAACAAGAAUCAUUACAGAUAAGAGAUAACUCUCCACGAAGAAAACUUGGUAGUAGCCUACAAUGCUGCUCUGAACUAAGGCUAAUAUUAACACUGUGGGAAAUAUUAACAUGGCCCAUGUAAGACUGGUCACCUGAUGCAAAGAGCUGACUCAUAAGAAAAGACCUUGAUGCUGGGAAAGAUUGAGGGCAGGAGAAGAAGGGAUGACAGAGGAUGAGAUGGUUGGAUGGCAUCACCAACUCACUGGACAUGAGUUUAAGAAAGCUCCGGAAGAUGGUGCAGAACAGGGAAUACUGGCAUGCUGCAGUCCAUGGAGUUGCAAAGAGUCUGACAUGACUGAGCAACUGUACAGCAACAUGUAAGCUUAAAUGUAGUGAAUUCUUCACUCUACUCACAGACUAUUCUGUUCAUCUAUCAUCAGAAAUUAGAAAGGCAGGCCUACAUCAAAGCAAGGCUACUUCAGUUCAGUUCAGUUCAGUUCAGUCGCUAAGUCGUGUCCCACUCUUUGUGACCCCAUGAAUUGCAGCACGCCAGGCCUCCCUGUCCAUCACCAACUCCCGGAGUUUACCCAAACUCACGCCCAUCGAAUCGGUGAUGCCAUCCAGCCAUCUCACCCUCUGUCAUCCCCUUCUCCUCCUGCCCCCAAUACCUCCCAGCAUCAGGGGCUUUUCCAAUGAGUCAACUCUUCACAUGAGGUGGCCAAAAUAUUGGAGUUUCAGCUUCAGCAUCAGUCCUUCCAAUGAACACCCAGGACUGAUCUCCUUUAGGAUGGACUGGUUGGAUCUCCUUGCAGUCCAAGGGACUCUCAAGAGUCUUCUCCAGCACCACAGUUCAAAAGCAUCAAUUCUUCGGCACUCAGCUUUCUUCACAGUCCAACUCUCACAUCCAUACAUGACCACUGGAAAAACCAUAGCCUUGACUAGACAGACCUUUGUUGGCAAAGUAAUGUCUCUGCUUUUCAAUAUGCUAUCUAGGUUGGUCAUAACUUUCCCUCCAAGGAGUAAGCGUCUUUUAAUUUCAUGGCUGCAGUCACCAUCUGCAGUGAUUUUGGAGCGCCCCACCGUUUCCACUGUUUCCCCAUCUAUUUGCCAUGAAGUGAUGGGACCAGAUGCCAUCAUCUUCGUUUUCUGAAUGUUGAGCUUUAAGCCAACUUUUUCACUCUCCUCUUUCACUUUCAUCAAGAGGCUUUUUAGUUCCUCUUCACUUUUUGCCAUAAGGGUGGUGUCAUCUGCAUAUCUGAGGUUAUUGAUAUUUCUCCCAGCAACCUUAUUCCAGCUUGUGCUUCUUCCAGGCCAGCAUUUCUCAUGAUAUACUCUGCAUACAAGUUAGAUAAGCAGAGUGGACAAUAUACAGCCUUGACAUAUUCUUUUUCCUAUUUGGAACCCAUCUGUUGUUCCACGUCCAGUUCUAACUGUUGUUUCCUGACCUGCAUAUACUACUUAGGUGCAGCCAAGAUCAGAGGGAUAGGAGAGAUGGCUGAGAGCAACCAAGAAAGUGAAUAAUGCAAAUUUGUAGACAAAGUUAAGAAAUAACUAGCCUCUGAGCAUGUCUAUAAAGAAUUCAUGAGUUACAGAGGCAAUUGACAUGCAACUGUGGAGAAGCAAUGUAUCUCAGAUGAAAGGAACCACUUAAAGUCAGUUUUGAAGAUGUGCAGAGACUAAAAGGGCUUUACUAGCUUUGAAAAUCAAGGAUUAUUUCAUAUAAGCUGGCAUAACUAGGUUUGUAGUAAAAAAGAUGUCAAAAUAAAUCAUUCACUCAAUAACUGCUGCA
ensembl:lncRNA